rnacentral:sRNA from 1 species
GAAGCGAGUACCUUACUAGUAGCCACUAGGGGUGUCAGUAAUAUGGCUCAACUUUGUUACGACGGAUCAGAAAAAUGCUCACCUUUAAGACCGCAAGCAGAGCCUGUCUGGGGAAGCAGGUGACUUAUCAACGCCAUUUGAGAUAAGGAAUAGGACUGCGGGGAGGAGUGUGUGAGAAUCAAAGAAAAUGAGAAAGGACAAUAUAUAUCUCCAUUUCAUGAUAUUCCAAUUUAUGCAGAUAAGGAUGUGUUUCACAUGGUAGUUGAAGUACCACGCUGGUCU